GACGAACGCUGGCGGCGUGCCUAAUACAUGCAAGUUGAGCGCUGAAGGUUGGUACUUGUACCAACUGGAUGAGCAGCGAACGGGUGAGUAACGCGUGGGGAAUCUGCCUUUGAGCGGGGGACAACAUUUGGAAACGAAUGCUAAUACCGCAUAAAAACUUUAAACACAAGUUUUAAGUUUGAAAGAUGCAAUUGCAUCACUCAAAGAUGAUCCCGCGUUGUAUUAGCUAGUUGGUGAGGGAAAGGCUCACCAAGGCGAUGAUACAUAGCCGACCUGAGAGGGUGAUCGGCCACAUUGGGACUGAGACACGGCCCAAACUCCUACGGGAGGCAGCAGUAGGGAAUCUUCGGCAAUGGACGAAAGUCUGACCGAGCAACGCCGCGUGAGUGAAGAAGGUUUUCGGAUCGUAAAACUCUGUUGGUAGAGAAGAACGUUGGUGAGAGUGGAAAGCUCAUCAAGUGACGGUAACUACCCAGAAAGGGACGGCUAACUACGUG
rnacentral:rRNA from 1 species